rnacentral:rRNA from 1 species
CGAGCACGCGCGUGUGGCAUAUCAAUAAGCGGAGGAAAAGAAACUAACAAGGAUUCCCUUAGUAACGGCGAGUGAAGCGGGAAGAGCUCAAAUUUGAAAUCUUCAAGGUUCUACCUUGACGAAUUGUAGUUUAUAGAAGUGUUUUCUGUUAGUGGAGUGGCAAAAGUUCUUUGGAAUAGGACAUCACAGAGGGUGAGAAUCCCGUAUUUGGUCAUUCCUCCUAGCGUUGUGAUACACUUUCAACGAGUCGGAUUGUUUGGGAAUGCAGUCCAAAAUGGGUGGUAAAUUUCAUCUAAAGCUAAAUAUUGGCGAGAGACCGAUAGCGAACAAGUACCGUGAGGGAAAGAUGAAAAGAACUUUGAAAAGAGAGUUAAACAGUACGUGAAAUUGUCAAAAGGGAAGCGUUUGACACCAGUGUUGUUUUUCCGAAAAUCAAUUACGAAUGUUUUGUUUUUGAGGAGUUAUGACUUCAUCGGCUUGCUCCUUUCUUUACGAAGCUUUCUUAAUGCACUUUUCGGUUAACAAGUCAACAUCAAUUUCUUUUGUUGUAAAAGGGUAUGAGGAAGGUGGCUUUCUUUUCGGAGAAAGUGUUUAUAGCCUUGUGCCUCUGCAAUCGGAGAGAUUGAGGUCUGCAGCGUAGAUCCUUCGGGGUUAGAUACGUUUGUGCUAAGUUAUAGCCUUGUAUAGACAACUUGUUGACUAUAGCUCUAGUCAUGUAGCUUACUCGCAUGACGUAUUUUACCUACGCUUAGGAUGUUGAUGUGAUACUGCGAGCA